rnacentral:rRNA from 1 species
AGUGAACGCUGGCGGUAGGCCUAACACAUGCAAGUCGAACGGCAGCACAGUAAGAGCUUGCUCUUACGGGUGGCGAGUGGCGGACGGGUGAGGAAUACAUCGGAAUCUACUUUUUCGUGGGGGAUAACGUAGGGAAACUUACGCUAAUACCGCAUACGACCUACGGGUGAAAGCAGGGGAUCUUCGGACCUUUCGCGAUUGAAUGAGCCGAUGUCGGAUUAGCUAGUUGGCAGGGUAAAGGCCCACCAAGGCGAGGAUCCGUAGCUGGUCUGAGAGGAUGAUCAGCCACACUGGAACUGAGACACGGUCCAGACUCCUACGGGAGGCAGCAGUGGGGAAUAUUGGACAAUGGGCGGAAGCCUGAUCCAGCCAUACCGCGUGGGUGAAGAAGGCCUUCGGGUUGUAAAGCCCUUUUGUUGGGAAAGAAAAGCAGCAGGUUAAUACCCCGCUGUUCUGACGGUACCCAAAGAAUAAGCACCGGCUAACUUCGUG